AUUAACCUCUCCUGGUACCUAAGAGUCCCAAUUAGGGAUGCAAAGGUUCCAGCUAUAUAAUCAGAUCGUACCAGAUGCCUGAUGCGUGAAACACACGUGGACAGUACCCUCAUUAAAAGGACAAGGUAUGUUGAACUGGACAACCAAUGAACAAGCACCAGUUAGGUACACAAUGAAUGAACUAAAGGUAUAACACUGGAGAGGAAAAAAGGGAGGGUGUGUUCAUUGCUCAGCAACUUCCUCCUGGUGAGACCACCACAAACUGAAACAAGAAACCUGCAGAAGAUGAUCAUGUGCUGGCCAGCUGUCUGUCCUCCAGUGUGCAUCCUUGGGACACAGUGUAUGAAAAAGACCAGCAGGGAGCAGCUGACAGGAAAAGACACCAGGAGCAGGAUGAAAUGAGAGAGACGAGGAUUUGGAAGGAAAGAAAGGAAAAUAAAGAGGAAGACAGGCAGGUAAAGAAGGAUAAUUAGAAAGACAUCUUUAUUUGGGGCUGGGGGUGGGGGAGUAUUAAUGGGGUGCUGUUCAAGUGCUGUGUAAAUGACUUCCUGUUGACUAGUGCUGGCACCAAAAGAGGUGGUGUGGGGCUGUGGCAUGGUUGCUUGCUCUGCUACUGCAGAGACCUGGGUUUUACUGGCAGCUCUGAUCUGUGUGUAUUCCUGGGGGCAUGGCUCCACAUCCCUGUUUUCCUACUUACCCUUUGAGUGAAGUCUACCUGUUGACUUCAGUGUCCCAGAAUUUCAUCCUUUAUCUGUCAAACAUUGCAAAGUUGAACUAUCUUUUGUUUAGUUGUACAACGUCCUAACAUCAUGGGGCCCUUAACACAACUUCUAACUAUAAAUAAUGGGCUAGCCUACCCUAGACUCACAUGGAAAUAACCCUGCCAGUUUUAGUUUAUGUAUUUUAUUAGUUUCAUUGUGAGUUCUUGUGUGGUUAUCCAUUCUAAAUAGAGAGCAUCCUGUUUUGGUUUAACUAGUCAGUAAAAAGCCAACUUAAAAGUCAAUCUAAAUAGGGCCUUUGUCAGCCCAAAUCAUAGGAGUUAGUUUUAUGUGGCAGGGAACAGGAAUGUCUGUUAACUCUGUACAAUUUAAGCAGCUCUCAUGAAUAAGAAACACAAUAACGCACACAGAAACCAAAUCAGAGCUAGAGUCUGUCAAUCAAUCACAUGUCUACAGCACACAUGGAUAGUGACACUCAAGUACUGACACAGGUUGACUGCCUCACAGGAGACCUGGUAGGGUCCCCAGAUCUUGUUCUGACUGGUCUCCAUCUUCACUCUACCUACUCUACAUGUCUCUUAUAGUCUGGUACAUGUCUGAUAAUCCCAGGCUUUUGUUGGUUGCCUGUAGGGGGUCAGAAAGGUAUUUAUUUUUUACCCCUUAUGAAGGUUGCUGGCUUCUGGAGGGUUUUUUUCCACCAUUUUCUGAAACUCUGGAGCACUGGCCAAAGUUUAGGCUGGGGCUUUAACUGGAGUGCACUGAUGCUCCUGCCAGUACUUAGAAAACCCAGAGGUGACCAGGUGGAGGGUCCUGCUCUUUUGUUCAUGGCCAUACUCAUCAGCAAAUUUGGUGUUGGAAAGUAAUUUUCCCUCUAGGCCUGACUUGCACAGAUACUGGUGGGGGGAGGGACCACUGCCUCUGGCACUGCGGUGGCUAAGCCCUGACAGUGCCCUUGUCUGCCCUGCUUUUACUUGUAGUGUAUCAUGGAGCAUUCUUGGUGAAGUGAUGUUACCACUUCAAGGCUUUUAUGCCUCAAAGUGGUAAUUUGCCGGUGAGUGUAGGGAAUCGGACUUGGUGGCCCAGCAGAUUGUGCCCAGUCCUGUUUUCUGAUGUUCCUGUGAACUUCCGGGGGCGAGACGCUGUCAACUCCCACUCACUCAAGACUGGCUCAGACUGGUCCUGACUGGGUCUGGCUGGUCUCAGUUGGCCUUGCCAUUUAACUCACUCAUUCAUUUGCCCACAUACGCAUACUGACUUGCCCACUUGCAAGUCUACUGACGUGAAGAGGAAAUAGCACCCAUUCGGUUACCAUGGUUGCAUGCACCCACAGCAGGGUAGCUAACGUUUUGUGGUCAAAACAUCCCCAGACACACAAAGCUGAUAGUUUCACCUGUUUCUAGCUGUUCUCAGGCCUCUGCAGUUGGCUGCUUAGUUCUCUGGAUUAUUAGCCCAUGAAACUGGCUACCCACGUCAGGACCCCAAGCUGAGACUGCCAGCCAGUAUGGUUCCUUGGGUAGUGGCGGGGAGGGGAGACCUUCCUGUGUCACUAUUAAACCAACCUGCAGGUGCUCCCACAUGCACAGGCUUGCACUGAAAUAGCUAGAGGUAUGGGUUGAAGCAGGGCCAUUAUGCAGAUUUCAGCCCGCACAAUGUCUGCCUGUGAUUUAGGCGACAGAGCUGGGAAGCUACUCCAAGGUCAGUUUGCUCCCCAUACAGAGAUCCUCUCCCUGGAAAGAAGGGACAGGUGGUCCCAGGGAGGAGAGCAGGUGGAAUGGAGCCAGAACAGAAGCCUGCAAGCCGGGUGUGAGCAGAAGCUACUUCCUACAUUGGUGUCAGCCCUGCAUGGAUGGAGGGUACCUGAAUGGCUCUGCUGUGGUCGCAUAUGGAAACUCCCGUGCCAAAUGCUCACUUGUUCCCAGGUUAACAUUGUUUGGUGGCAAGCCCUGCUGGGCUGCAGCUCUUCCUGCCCCAGAGCUGCUGUUUGGGGCCCUGUUGAGGGGAGCUCAGUGUCUCUGGGCUCUUCUAAGUAACAGAGACUUACCAAAAAAGAAAAAAAAAGGGGGGGGGGGGCAGGGGGGAGAACCACAGAGUGAAAGGCUUCCUCAUCCAUGGAGCAGACAUUUCCCCAGUAUCUUGCCAAAAAGGCACUUCUGCAGCCAUUGCAUUUAAUGCAUAGCAUGCUCAGAAGGCUGUGCUAUGCCCAUGGAAAACAGGAUAGCCUAGGUUCAUGCAUAACUGCUUACAAGCCCUCCCAAAUGGGUUAGAAAAAUUGCUAUAACUAACUGUGUGUGAGGUUGCAUACCAGAGGAGGAGGAGGGCCCUCCUAUGUUUUGGUCCAAUAGAAUCUAUGCCAGGGCACUUGUCCAGGGAGCAGGAGACCUGAGUUUUAAGCUCCCAUCCCCAAAAGGGAUUUGAGCCUGAAUCUCCUGCUUCUCAGCAAAGCAGUCUAACCAGCAAUCCUGUUCAGAGCCCCAUCUUCUUGAAGCUGACCCACUGGGCAGCUAGGAGGGCCAGAAGGAGGAGAGCAAGGGAUUUUGUUCAUAGGUUUGGGUUCAACUCCAUCUCUAGAGGAAAAAAUAGGAAGUGUGAAAGAAAGCAUAUUUGAAGGGAAAUUCUUCUCUCACAUGAACAGAAAGGCUUCUCUCUGCUGGGAGUUUCCCCUGCCUACAGUAUUCCACGUGCAGCUACAGGCAGAGAUGCAGCCUGCACCAGUGAUGCUAACCCCUGCUUGAAACUGGGUAAACUAGGACAGUGCAAAUAUCUCUGUAUAGCGCCUCUGUCUGCAACACCCAGACCAAGAAGCAGAGGAGGAAAUGACAGGAAGGCACAAAGGAAAGACUGAGACAAAUGGAAUAGGUCGAAUUUUGGUGGUGUUGGAACUUUUAUUUCUGAUGAGAAAUAUUUUUUGAUUCAAUGUAAGAAGCAAUGGAUUAUUAGAGGUAUCUUUUAUUGGAUCAACUAUAUAGUUGUGAAAGAUGUUAGACAAGAUUUUGUGCACAAAGUGCCCUUCCAUGAGACCUUAUUUCUAGGCAUGUUUCCUGGAUCAUCACAGCUACCACAACCCUCUAACCCUACUGCUCCUCUAACCCUACUGCUAUCUUUUGACUCACAAGACAUUUUCACAUGAAAAUGUGUUUUGCAAAAGCAAAUGCACAAAAAAUCCUCAUAAACUCUAGGUACAGACAGUUCCAGUCUCCAAAAUCCACACUCCACCUCCAGAUUCAAAGAAUUUCCCAUCCUCAGACAUAUAGGGAAGCAUCGGGGAAAUGAGAUAUUGGCUGAGGGCUUGUUAACACAGGAAAUUAUUCCAAAAUAGCAGUUCCUAAUCAGGUUCCUUUGUGGACAUCCAUUUUCUGGAAUAAAUGUGCCAUCUUCUAAGUGACUUGAAUCUGCUUCAGAUAAAGCAACUUUAGAAUAGAGUGCUCCCAUUCCAAAACAAGUGCAUGGUAGUUAUUUGGGAAUACAUUAUCUACUUUAAAGGGAGAUGAAGGGAUCAAUAUACCCUACCAUCUGUGUAAGCAAGCUCUGCUCAAUGGUUUCAAGAGAGAUGCUGUAAGAAUACAAUGAGUGGGAAAUGAAAGAGGGAAGGGAAAGAGAAUGAAGAGAAGAGAGAGAAUGCAGAAAGAAUAUCCCUCCCUCUUCUUCAUAAUUAUUCCCAAUAGGCUCAUCUCCAAGCUUUGGUCCAGUCUGAUUUUUAGUCUUUAUCUUGAAUUGCAAGGUUUCCAUGGAUGGAACAGAAGAGGGGAAAGGAGAUAGGUGUGUGAGAGAGUUAGUGGGUGGGAAAGAAGAUAAGCCUUCCAGCUGGGGAGAAUGAAGGUUGGUGUAGGAAAACCAGAGAGAGAAUCCUUUCUUUUCUUUCACUUGUGACCAGUUUAGGCUGAAGCAUGAGAGUCCUGGUCAUAUCAUCCAAGUCAGCAACACUGCACAGGCUGCUCAGAUUCUUCAAAUUCCAUCAUCUCUUUGUGAAAACUUCGGAUAACUUUGCCUCGUCCAUAGCAUCCUGUAGGAGCAGAUCCCACCAUGUGUCUAUUAUUCCAGCAAAACAAGGGGUGAAAGAACAUGGGAAAAAGAAGGGAAAUCAUUGCCAGGGACAAAUUCUUUCAGAGAGCAACACAUCCUCUGAGAGAAAACUCUCAUUGUCUCCUAAAUACAUGGAGCUUUUCAUGUGGAUGAACCUUCUCUGGUUGCCAUGGCCCUUGUCUAUCCUGACUUUGUCUUCCUCUGCUGAAACAAGAGGUCCUGGGUCAUGCUAUAGUAAUAGGCUCACACCCUGGAUGUGUCUGGUGUAGGCAACAUUGUUCACUCAUUUGCGCCCUGGGCCAAACACUAUGACAAAUCAUGUAUUGCAAUUCUCACAGGACUAAAAAUAUCACUUCACAGUGACUCCAUCUGAAAUAGUGUGGUGGUUCCAGUUCAAUCAGUUGCCAGAUGAAGGGACUGAAGCAUACACGGCUCAGUUGUGUCAUCUGUCCAAGAACUCUAAUCUUGGUACCAAUUUUGAAGCCAAAAGGCGAUGUUCAAACAUGUGCUGACUACAAGCGUGCAAUAAACAAAGCACUGCAGAAACCUCCAUAACAAGUUUCAACUGUAAGCCAGCUCCUUGCCACUCUUGCUGGAGGGAAGGCUUUUACUAAAGAGAACUUGGCCCAAGUAUAUCAGCUCCUGGUGGAUGAUCAUGCUGCCAAUGGAUAGACAACUAUUAUCUGCCACGGAGCAUUCAGUGCCAAGUACUUACAAUAUGGAGCGAGCAUCAUACCAGAGAGGUGCAGACAAGGAGGCCCCAGGCAUGGUAGUCCCAAGACUCCUUCCCUUCAUUCAGUCAAAGCAAGUCUCUGCUUCUAUCUGGACAGGGGAAAUCUAAAUUGUUUGUGGUUUUAAAACAGUGGUCAGUCUUGGGACCCCUUCUCUUGUCACUGCAGUUUUCAAAACAGGCUGAGCUAUUUCUCCCAGCUGAGCUGAUGCUGACCUAGGCAGCAUGGCUUCCCUGGGGACCUUUUUCAAUCUAUUGCAGGAAACUUUCCUCACUCUUUGGGUGUGGGAUCACAUCACAGUUAACAGGGACAUGAAUGCUUGCACUGAAUGCAGUCUCAGGGUCAGCACUGUCUCACCUCAGGCUUUGCAAGGCAUUGAGUAACCCAAGACUGUGCAGCCUUCCCAGCUGUGCUGUCUGCUGCCUGUUUGCUUUGCAAUGUAGCACCAACUCAUGGAGCCGGGAAUCAUGCCCUCCCUCCUGCCCCCCCUCCUCCCAUGCCUGGCAAAGGUGGCUCCCAUGCAGGCCCAACUUACCACAGGACUCAGACUUAUACCCCAAGACUUAUACCCUACAAGAAGUGGGGUGACUCACACAGCUAAGGUGGGGGCUGCUCUUCAAACCUGCUCUAAGGAGAUAGCAGUGAACAAAUCCCCUAAGGGAGCUGCCAAUUCUCUGGCAGCCCUCUCCCAUGCCAUCCUUUUCCCUGUGAACAUUGUGGCUGAGCAGGGAAAUGCCUGAGGGUCUUCACUGGGCCUUGGCACUGCUGAACCUGUCUUCUCUGCAGUCAGAAAAUUCUCCCUGGAAGGUGCUUCAACAUAGCUGGAGGAAGAAAACUGCAGCACCAUGAGGGGGGAGUUAAUAUUGCCAAUUAAUGACACUGUGAUCUUUAUCAGCUGCUGUUAACCUCCUUCCUUGUCCCAAAGGCUCAUCAUUUCCCCCGCAUUUAGAGGCCUCAUCUCAUCGCACUGCAUGUUCAGCUGCCGUCCUCCAUGAGGACUAGUAAGGCACAUGAGCCUGUUUAAUUUUGUGAGAAGCCAAGAUUCUUCCCACGGCAUCAUCCUGAAGAAGCCUAGCCUUCCCCUUCCACCCAUUUCCUGCACUGGAGAUGAUCUUCCCUUGCAAUCCAGCUGCAAAACGUGCCCACAGUGACACUGCCCUGAGGUCAGGCUCAUUGGUGUGACAGAGUGCCCUGCUGUGUUGUACUAUUGCCAUGUUAAUUGUGCUUUCUACCAUUUCUGUGAUAAUGGUGUAGGCCUCAGUUUCCUUGACUGGAUUUUACUUUGUUAUGGUCUGAAAAAGAACAGGUUAACUUUACCUAUGGUUGACUUUCAUACGUUAUUUACCACUCCUACAGACUUAACAGUCAAACACUUCAGUUAAGUUCAGAAACCCACAUCCAAGCGUUUGUUGUUUUUUUUCCCCCUGAGAAUGUGGAAACAUGCCACUUUAAGAGGAAAUACUCAGAGGAAACAUUUUGCCUUUCCCAUAUCAAAACUUGAAAAAAAUCCAUGAUUUCCAAUUUUCAGCCUGUCUUUUAAUUUUUGCUCAGCUGUAAUUGAAACCUAGUUCAUUGUGUAGGCAGCGCCUUUGUAAAUGGGUAAUGUAAAUGGGCCCCUGAGUGAAUGAAUGAUGGAGACUCACAACAAGAAAUAGACAUGGAAAUGUGAAAAAAACAGAGAAAUAGAAUAACAUUCUUCAGACAGACAUGCUAAGAAAAGGCUGGAUGGAGUGACUUAUGAUGAGGUCUGAAAGAACUAAAUGCAUUUAAUUAACUUAACAAUGUAUAAGGUGGAGGCUUUUUAAGGGAUAAACAUUCCAGAGGAGGGGGAAUUGUGUAAGUCAGGGGCUGGCCAACCUGUAGUGCACGUGCACAAGCAGCACGGGCAGCCUCUGAGUGUGGCACACAACAGACUGGAGAGGGGACAGGCAGCGCAGUGGCAGAUAGGGCAUAAAGCAGAGCAGAUCGGGCAAUGAGCACAAGCCAGGAAACAGAAAGCAGAGCAGUAAAUCAGAUGCAGAGCACAUGGUAAGGAGCAGGAAGCAGAACAGCAGAUUGGGCAGGGGAAGGGGAGUGGAGUGGCACUAGGGGAGAGUGUGGAGCUAAUUUGUGGUACAGCUGCUGAAAAGGUUGGACAGCUAUUCGCAAAAGUGAUUUGAAGGGGAAAUAAUAGAAGGGCAUAGAUGAAACUCAUCAAAGAGGUGAGCACUUCAGGGUGCAAACACACAUAACAAUCAAACCCAAAUAUCCCUGAGUGGGAGCUAGUUCACAAAUGCGUGAAGUGCUGUGGUGCUGACAACAGGGGGUGGGAAUGAGCACACAGCCCAACAUACCACACAUUGGUGCGGGGAGGGAAAAAAGGAGUCCCAAAAGGUGGGUCACCUGUGACGGGAGCAUUUUUACUUUUCAGUUUUCCCUUCUUCCCUAAACUGGAGUUCAGUAAAUUUCAACAGCCUGCAGUUGACCCAAGUCUGCUCUGUGCUUGCCUGAUGGGAAAGAUUUCAGGGGCUGAGGGACAUGAUGACGAAUCAUUGCCAAGUACAGAGUGAGGACACAGCUGAUUGUUAGAAAGAUAGCUCUUAUCGAAUACGCAGGGCAUGGGGACUCAUUGAUAAAAAGUGCCAACACGAGGAUAAAAGCGGGGCAGUAGAGUUCUGGCUGCAUACCAGUUGUAGUAGUGGGGGGAGGCUUGGGAGAGUGAGGAGCAAGCCAUUGGGAGUUCCAAUGAGACCUGUGUCAUGCAACACUUGGCGUCCACACAUAACCCUGAACCGGUUCAAAAUGAUGAUUUUUCAGGUAAACUUCUAAAUCAUUCUAGGCAGCUUUCAAUGGGUUUAACAGACUUGUAUGACUGUCUCCUUCCAGUCUAAAUUGCAUUUGAAUUGCUCUGUUAUACUCAUCCAUGUCGUUGAGCAACAUCAAGAUACAUUUUCUGUGAUGAGGCUCUGAGACUGAGCAAUGGCUCUCUCAAGAACAGAGCAGGAGCCCCCUUAACAGAGCUGUUUAAAACUAGAGCUAAGACAAAUUAGUGGGGAAUGCCAAUGAGGCCUAGGAAGAGCCACCUGGGCCAGGGCUGGAACUUCAGGGGAACAGCAAGGAAAAGUUUAGGUGCUGCUGUUCCCAAAGCCUCAACUACCUGAGCUACAGGAGAGUUCACUGUGUGUCCACUACAGCAAAAGUUUCUGACACAGCUGAGUGCUCCUGUCCCCAUCCACUCAAAAGGCAGAGUGCACACAUACUCCUCUCAGGCAAGCCAGAAACAAUCCUGCCCUGGCCUUGAGCUGGACAAGUGGGGGCUAUUGGUCACACGUUGACUUAGCAGAUUUUUCCUCACAGGCUCUCUCCCACCUGCCUGGCUUGCUGACUGUGCACAGACCUAGAGGGUCAAAGCACAUACUGCGGCCUGCACAGACACAGGUUGCUGCAGCUGUGAUUUGAGGCUGAGCAGGGACCUGUGAGUUUUGAAACAAACUGAUCAGAAACCAUUGGUCAUUAUCAAUUGCUCUGUGAAGUCCAUUCUCCCCUUUGUGCUUCUGUUUUUUACCUGUUACUCCAUCCAGCCACAUCAGGAGUGAGCAGGUGGGGUCCAUCAGCACAAAUCCUUCCCUCACACAUUACUUUGUUGAGCUUCCACUGUAGGAAGGAAGGCAGAGGAAGGACUGAGGGGAAAUGACAACAUCUCCCUCAGCCCAGGUCUAGAUGUCAAGACAGCACCCUACUUCCUGGCCUGUCUGCUGCAGUAUGAAAUACAGAACCAGCAAUGGGAGCCCCAGGCAGAAGAGUGCAACUGUGACUUCUCUCCACCAACACAGAUAGCAUCCCUCACCUCACCACCCAUGAGGAGUAUUUCCAGGCAUGGGGGAGUCAUGGCCUGGCUUCCAGCACUUCCCAUGCAUGACACACUUGGGGCCACAUGGAGGUAAACUCAAGGUCCUGCUCUAGCACCACAGAGCCGAUGCCAGAGUCAUGGUGGAAGUGCAGCCACACGCAGUUAGGGGUAGCUGCAAUAUCUGCUCGGCCAGUGAGAAGGGCUGUGACAUCUACCACUCUCGGUCCCAGCUUCUUUCUCCUGAUGGGAACUAGUGCAAAAUCCUUCUCUGGGUCUUAUACUCUGGCGGAAGGAGGACCAGGACAAGCAAGCCAAGGCCUGGGGCAUAUCUGCUCCUUCCUUGUGCGGGCUAGUCUCCCUGUGACUGGCUUUCCCUCAGGCUCUGAUUCCUUCACUCAUGCUCAGCCUCCCCCACUGUAUCUUUUGGGGAUAUUUUAGCUCCCUUUGUUGAGAAUAUUAUCAAAAAUUAAUUUUAGAAGAAUGCAUGAAUGAGUGAAUGAAUAGGGUAUCAAGCACAGCCAGGCUACAGAAAGCAGCCUUGAGAAGAACAAACAAACCAUCUACAAGAAGAUACGGAGUAAGCAGCCACCUUGUCUCCCCUGUCUCAGGAUGUUGUAAAUCAAAGUAACUCCUUACCAUCCAUCUUACCAUUUGCUUGUCUAAGCCAUGAGGUCUGUGACUCAAGCCAGCUCAACAGCAACAAGGUGAUUGGCUAAGUGGGUUGUCAGGGGCACUGCAGCAAAGUCUGCCUAAACUAAGUAUAAAAGGACAGUGAAGGCCAGGCCCUCACAAUGCUGUAUGCCAUCCACAUCAACUCGGGAAAAACUACUGGCGUCCCACCCAUAAUCUCGUUGUGUCAAGGUGUCCCUGCAACAAAGUUUACGAGUCACCCUUACGGGGGAGACCACUGUUUGGAGGAAGGAGCCUCCCCGUUGUUUUGAAAAUGUUUAAGGAAAAGUCUGGGUCUAACCAAGAAGCAAAAGAGCCAUCCAAGUGGACUGUCAGGGAGGAAUUAUAAAUCCAAGAAAAAGGUACCUGUCCCUGGAGUCUGAAUGCCUUUCAGGGACAUGAUGACUUAAAGCAGGGAUGUAAGGACUUCAAUGUUUUGGUUACUGCCACCAAACCAAAAGUAACUAAGAAGAAACAGAUUCAGUAGUUGAAAAACCCUCACCGUCAGAUGGGUGUAAAAGUUUUGCAGACAACUUUCGAAGGGAGGACCAUCCUCUUGGAGGAAAGAUGUGUGCCCCCUCCCUCUCCCCUUCACUCUUUCUGAUCUUAACAGCCAGUUUGAAAAGUACUGUUUAGGUGAUUGCCCGGCUGUGCAAAAACAGCAUGGGGCUGCAGUGUGGAUUUUAUGGCAGGCUGUGGAAGAGAAGUGCUGUUUCAUAAAAGACAGGGAAAAGUGGAAGCAAUAAGGCAUUUGUUACACAGAGCGAAAUGUGGAAAGUGUUUAGAAAGAAAGAGUCAGUGAAGGGAUUAACCGUUUGGAUGUAAGAAAGGGCAGGAGGAAAGAACAAGAAUAAAACUUAAGGAAAAACUGUUCUAAGAAAAAGCUGUAACCUGAUCUCGGAGUGCUUGAGGUCAUGCUGUGGUUUGUUUAGGUUAAGUACAAUAACUUUUAUUGCUGGUCCAAUAAGAAGUCAGUAGCAGAGAAAAUUAACCCGCGUGCUAAAAGCUGUGCAAAUGUACAUAAGUAGAGCCUAAGGAGUCAGCAGCUUUACAAAGAUUGUUAAGGUAUUGGUGCAAAACAGAGGGUGUGAGCAGUGUAUGAUGUUUGUUUUGUGUGUGUUGCAAGGUAAAGAGGAACCCUUGAAAGUGUAGGUAUGGGCACCCUUAUUGGUAACAGGGAGUGAGAAAGGAAAGUUUUAACAGCUUGUUAAGGAAAGGAGAACAAAAGGUGUUUAUGAAAACAGUGUCAGCUAUUAAGGCUCUUGCUGUAGUUGAUAGGUUAAUCAGGACAAGCAAAUAAAGAUAUUUUGUAAGGUGCAGACAAAGAGUUAAAGAUACAAGCAUUCAUCUUGAAUGAAGAAUCAACCCCUAACCCCAUAAAGGCAGUGUAAAUAUUCACUAGAAGCUAAAAUAAGAUUAUAACUCAGAAUAAAUAGUUUAAACCAGGGAGUGAUUAUACAAAUGCUUAGGGUAUGCGAAUCCCUGAUUUGGGAUUUGGUCUAUUCUGAAAACAAAGGGGAAAACCUAAAAAUGGACAAUAAACUUCAGAGCUUUGAAUGCAAUAACAAUUGUUGUAGCUCCUGGUAUAGCAAAACACCCUGAAAUUCCAGCAGCUAUAGCAGGAAGAGUAAAAUGAUUUUUAGUAUUAAAUUUGGCUAAUGUAGUUUUUGUUUUUUGGUUAUUUCCUUAGCACAAAAGUGCUGGUAUAAUUUGAAAUUGAUAUUCAUGAGAACAAUAAUAUUGUUUUAUCCAAACAUCUUAAACAUUUGGAGUGUCCCAACAAUAAAAAUGUAGAAAAAAUUUAAGUAAAAAUUCUGAGGGAGAAAUUGUCCCUCUAAAACAAAAACUCAUUUUUAAAAUAAUAAUUUGGUUAAAUUACAACAAGGGUAUUGGUAUCCCAUGAUCUCACAUGUAAAGAAAAAAAAUUGUAAAGAUCCCAAUUCCAAUUGCCAAAAUAGUGCAAGACCAUUAAAAACAAUAAAUAACUGUGGAUGAUCCUUGUCACACCCCAAGAAUUACAAUGAUGUAUGCAUUGCCACUGCAUGUCAGCGCUGUAAAUUUGUAAAUAUGAGUAAUAUUUUACUGCAAGUAAUUUUCUUUGUCAGGUUUGUGUUUUCUUUUGCAGAACCUAUACCGUAAAAUUCAAUCCAGUAAUAAAGGUGACUGAUAGACUAUGAGGCCUCAUUACCAUCAACAGUAUCUUCUUUACCUAAGCCAUGGCUUUUAUUGUUAUAAUAAUUGUUCUCUCUGUUUUAUGUUGUCUUGUUAUGUAGUUUUUGUUUGUUUAGUUUGUUUUAAAUUGUCAAAAGUUUAGAUGCAUAUAAAUAUAAAGAUGUGAUAAAAUUAUUAGGAAGACACCAUUUGAAAAUUAAACUUGUCUGUGGAUCCCAGACCUAGUCCCAACUUGGACUGGAAGGAUGUCCCAGUCCUUGGAAUUUAAGGUGAAACUGAAACUAACUCCAAACGCAAAUGCCUUAGAAUGUAAGUGGACAGGACCACAUUAUAUUGUCAACAAAAUUAGUCCUAUGGAGGUCCAAAUUGAUAAGGGAGAAAAGGGUAAGUGGGUGCAUACUUCCCAGUUAAAAAUGGUAAAUUGAGUAUAAUAAAAUAACAUUAUUGUUUAUGUUAUAACAGGUAUUAUUCUACAGGAACAGGCACUGACACUAUAGGAGUAUCCAGAAUGCAAUAGAUCCUGUCAGAAGAAUCAGAGAGACUCUUAAUCAUAAUUUGCAUGGCUUGCUUUUGCUUUUGUUUUUGCUUCAUUUUGCGUGGCUUUCUUGCUUUUGUUUGUUGUCAUGAAUGCCAAAAUCUGUGAUUUGUUUUAGGAUUUUAAGCUUGAGCGAAGACACAAAGAUAACCGGAUUAAAAGAACUGCUAACAAUAGUGUUAUUAAAAUUAAUCAUAAAAGUAAGUGGUACCAAAUCAUUCCAAGUGUACUCAGGCCUAAAUCAGGGUUUAUUAUUUCAAAGUAAUUCAGGUUCAUUUACAAAGAGCUGUGUUCAGGUUCUCUGGUGUGAAGACACCAUUCACACAAUUGAGCCAAUAAAAUUGUCCCAUUCUGGAUAUGUUCACUUAACAUCCUCAAUUUGAAAAAUAAAACAGGGAACAUCAUAAUAUUGACGCCCCCUGCAGUUUUACUCUAGGCAAACUCUUGCAUCAGUCAGAUCAGCCUACCAAAGAAAAUUUUGAAAUUUUUGCUAAGUUAAGUGUUUCACUAUGAAGAGUUCAGGAAAGAUUGACAAUGAUUUGGCUAAAGCUCUUCUAACUAUACAAGGCAAUGCAUCUACAGCCUUCAUGCAUAUUUAAGAUCAAACAUGGUAUUUGGAUGUAAUUAAGGGGAUUAUAAUGCAGGAUAUAGAUGGGAUGUAAAUGGGCAAGUUCCAGUUGAAUUGUGGAAGCUGCUUUAUAGUCCAGAAGAAUGGUUUCACCCUUAUAAUCAACUUCUAAACUUCUAUUCAAUCCAACUACACUGCAAAUUGAGGUGGAAGUGCCAGCCCUAUUAACUGCACUUAAACAAAAGGUGUUUCUGAUUUAUACCCUAGGAAGCAAAGUUAAUGAGUCAGUUAUGUGAAGAAUAUAUGUUACAACCAAAUAAUUUUUGUUUUAAUCCUGAUUUUGUAGUAUGUAACUAUCUGUUGGAUAAUAAUCUUUAUAAGUUACUAACAGUAGAUGUAGGAUAGAGAUGUGUAUGUUUAAAAACUUGGUGUUUGUAGUUAUAUAUUAACCAAUAGUGUUAUCUUAAUGUAACUGAUUUAGCUGUCAAUAUUUAUUUGUAUAAUGUUUUAUGUGACAUUAUUUAUAAAAAAAGGGAUAGUAAACCAAAGCUUUACCAUCAAUUAUGAACUAUUUGGAAAAAGUAAAUUUACACUCAAUACACUUAAAUCUCAGCAGAGAUUCUCUGCCACAUAACACAACAUCCAAAAUUAGUGCAUGCUGUAAAUAUCAUGCAGGGAAAAAGCUAUAAAAUCCAAUGUCAUAGGGCAAGCCAACUCCAAACACAUAACCAAGGCAAAGAAAACAACAUAUCACAACUGGAGGGAAAACUCUGUUCAGCUGGUCACUAUCAGCCAAUGGGAUAUUCAAUUUAAUGUUAUAUCCAAUAAUAAUUUUGUAUAUUACAUUUAUAUUAUUAACCUUAUUAAUUAUUAUUUUAUAUUGCAUAUAAAAAUCACAGCAACUAAAAAGUGGCAUCACGUGCUAAAUGUGAUACCCUAAAUAUUGGGUUUUAAGGGGGGUGGGAAUGUUGAGAAUAUUAUUGAAAAUUAAUUUUAGAUGAAUGCAUGAAUGAAUAUGGUAUCAAGCAUACCCAGUCUACUGAGAAAGCAGCCUUGAGAAGAACAAACAAACCAUCUACAAGAAGAUAAGGAGUAAGCAGCCACCUUGUCUCCCCUGUCUCAGGAUGUUGUAAAUCAAAGUAACUCCUUAUCAUCCAUCUUACCAUCUGCUUGUCUAAGCCAUGAGGUCUGUGACUCAAGCCAGCUCAACAGCAACAAGGUGACUGGUUAAGCUGGUUGUCAGGGGCACUGCAGCAAAGUCUGCCUAAACUAAGUAUAAAAGGACAGUGAAGGCCAGGCUCUCACAAUGCUGUAUGCCAUCCACAUCAACGAGUGGAGUGCAAGUAUGAAUGGUUUUAGAUAAAGCAUUGCUUUUCCCCACUUGACCUAUGUGUAUCACUCAAUAAAGAUCUUGGUUGCUGAA